CGCCAUCUGGGGGCGGGGUCCAGACUGGGCGUGGCCUUGGCCUUGGAGGCGGGGUCUAGGGCAAGGCUCUAUCUGGGGGCCGGGUCUAGGUCUUGGGGUCUUGGACACUCAGCUAGACAGGGGAGGUGGGUGGGUCUUAACAGAAGCACAGCAUUGUUUCUUGGACCCCUUCCGUCCUGUCCUGCAGACGGUGAGACCCUCGUUUGUCUCCACAAACAUGAUCAACAACAAGUCAACCGGGCUGCUGGUGAAGAGUGCCGACGAGUUUGCCCGCACUGCCUUGGACACGCUGGGCCUCUCCUCCCACGUCUGUGGCUGCCUCAGCCACGAGCUGCAGAGCUUCCUGCUGCCUUUCAUCAUACCCGUAUGGCUUACCAACAGUCACUGGGGAAUCCGGCUUCUGUCUAUAGGAAGCAAGGUCAAAUUUUUCCCCUUCCUUCAAAGCGCGACAGCGCGAUCUCAGUGAAGAUGCAGUCCAGAAGGUCUCAGGUCAGAACAGAGACAAGCAGGCUGGUGGGACACUGGACGUUGGUUGACGAGGACGGCCUCACUCCCCUCUGGCAGAAAGAUGGAGUUUUUAAUAUGCGCUGUGAAAAGCUAGACAGCCAUUUGGUGACAUUCUAAAAAAAAUUUUUUUCUGGCACCGGGGAUCGAACUCAGGACCUUGUGCUUACAAGGCAGACACAGCGCCCCUCAGCUAAAUCCCUGGCAGGUGACAUUCUUAAAUUUAAAAAAAAAUGAAAUUGUAGUGGUGGUUGCACACCUUAGUGAAUGUACUGAAAACUCAGUGAUUGUACAUGUUAAAAGGGUGAAUCUUAUGUGGGUGAUAUCUCCAUAAAAAUAAUUUUAAAAUGGAGUCUC